rnacentral:rRNA from 1 species
GACGUAGGGCGCGAGCGUUGUCCGGAUUUAUUGGGCGUAAAGAGCUCGUAGGCGGCUUGUCGCGUCGACCGUGAAAACUUGGGGCUCAACCCCAAGCCUGCGGUCGAUACGGGCAGGCUCGAGUUCGGUAGGGGAGACUGGAAUUCCUGGUGUAGCGGUGAAAUGCGCAGAUAUCAAGAGGAACACCGAUGGCGAAGGCAGGUCUCUGGGCCGAUACUGACGCUGAGGAGCGAAAGCGUGGGGAGCGAACAGG